rnacentral:rRNA from 1 species
UACGUAGGGUCCGAGCGUUGUCCGGAGUUACUGGGCGUAAAGCGCGCGCAGGCGGCGACGCCAGCCAGGCGUGAAAGCCCCCGGCUCAACCGGGGAGGGUCGUCGGGGACGACGUCGCUUGAGGACGGCAGGGGCCGGUGGAAUGCCCGGUGUAGUGGUGAAAUGCGUAGAGAUCGGGCAGAACACCCGUGGCGAAGGCGACUUCCUGGCCUGUUCUUGACGCUGAGGCGCGAAAGCUAGGGGAGCAAACGGG